AGAGAGAGAGAGAGAGAGAGAGAGAGAGAGCAACGGCACUAGCAGCAAAAACAACAACAGCGAAACAAUAAAAACAACAAUGAAACAAUAAAUAACAACAACAACAACAACAGCAACAUCAAAAUCAGCAAUGUCAAGAGCAACAGAAACAACAACAACAGCAAGGAGACAACAACAACAACGAAAACAACAAUGUAAAGAGCAACAGUAACAACAACAAUAAGGAAAACAACAACAACAACAAAAACAACAACAACAACAACAACAACAACAACAGCAACGAAACAAAAACAGCAGUGAAACAACAAAAAACAACGAAAGCAACAAUGUAAAGAACAACAACAAAAACAACACCAGUACCAACAGCAACAGUACUGAUUCUAAAUACUGCAACACUCGAUUAGAAUAAUUGCCAAAAAAAAGUUCGCGUCGGGAGGAUAAAAAGCUUGGGAGGAGGUACCUGUGCAUGAGUCCAUUUAACGUGGCGGUGAGUGCGCCUGUGUGAAGCUGAGGCUAAAACGCAGCUCAGCGAAGUGACCAUUAGCGGUGUGAGUGCCAGCGGUCCACCAGCCAGAGACAGCGGGCACGGCACACGGUCGAUCUUCUCUCCUCUGCGGCGCUUCAUCUAACCUACACUCUUGUCUUGUCUCCACUUCCCGUCACCAACACGCGACCGUCACACAUAGACAGGGAAUAAAGAGCUAGGUGUGUGAGUGAGACAGCACGGCGCAAUGGGUGCGGGUACUGUGUCAUUCUUGCUGCUGCUGUUGCCGCUCUUGGCUUGUGUCUGCACGGGGACCCCAGAGCCCAGCCAGGACCUCCCAAUGGCCCACCCUGCCGCCUCCACCCAGCCGCCUACACACGGAAGGGAGGCUCGAGCGAUGCGCAGUAAAGGCAGUGAGGAAGGGAACCUAUCACUGCCGCUCUCGAUGCCCAGCAGGCACGAGGAGGGAGACCUGGCCGACCUGCUUGCCUUCCUCAUCAGCUUAACCUCUGGCGAACAUCUCUACGUACUUCACGACGCUGAUGCUCAAGGAAUCCGGGAAGUGGAGCAGGCGUGGCGGCGGGCGGGUAGAACACUCAUGCUGCUGCCUUACCGUGCCGACGCGGGACUUCUGGUGGAGGUCCUCAGGUCGCCUCGCCACCACAUCCUCCCGAUCAGGAAUGUGCUUGUAAUGUGCUCCCCAGGACACGUGGUGGACAUCUUCCAGCAAGUGUGUGUGUGUGUGUGUGUGUGUGUGUGUGUGUGUGUGUGUGUGUGUGUGUGUGAGUGAGAGGAGAGGAAGAGGAUACGAGGAGGAGUGUGUGUGUGUCUGUGUCUGUGUGUGUGUGAGAGAGACGAGAGGAAGAGGAUAUAAGAUAGA